UUGAUUGUUGUUUAUAUCCUUUUCAAGUGGAGAUAUCUUCUUUAGACAAAAUAUCCGAAAACUUCAUCAUGUCAACAGUUACUGAAAGGUGACCUCGAAUCAUCUUUCGUAGCAGUCCGUGUCAACCUGGAUGAGUGACAAGCAAGAUGGUGUCCAAUAAGUGGAUAAUUAUAUGGAUUGCACUCUUUAAUCUACUUAUAGACAAAGCUUUCGGAGGCAUCUACUAUGAAGGACUGACUGGUACCAAUCUUUCCUGCUACACGUGUAAGGAAAGUUACAAAAUCACGCCAUACGACCCAACAGCCCACACCUGCCAGUCAAACCUUCCCAAAGUAGACAUCAUCUCCUGCGGCAUGAAAGAUAAAUACUGCAAGGUUGAGAGGGUCGAGCUUCAAGGUGUGAAGAUCAGCAUUGAAAGAAGCUGUACGGA